CAUCGGCUUCGGCUGGUGGGUAGCCUGAUGGCGUGCCUUUUGAAGAAUGAGCCGGCGAGUUACCCGGUCUGUGGCAAGGUUAAGUCCGUGAAGGACGGAGCCGUAGCGAAAGCGAGUCUGAAUAGGGCGCCAUAGUCGCAGCGGGUAGACCCGAAACCGAGUGAGCUACCCAUGGGCAGGUUGAAGCGGGAGUAAUGUCCCGUGAAGGACCGAACUCACUAGCGUUGAAAAGCUAGGGGAUGACCUGUGGGUAGAGGUGAAAUGCCAAUCGAACUCGGAGAUAGCUGGUUCUCCCCGAAAUAGCUUUAGGGCUAGCCUCGGGGGUUCAGUCGUGGGGGUAGAGCACUGAAUGGGCUAGGGGGCUUCCCGCUUACCAAACCCAAUCAAACUCCGAAUCCCACGAUUUCAUACCCCGGGAGUCAGACUGCGAGGGCUAAGCUUCGUGGUCAAAAGGAAAACAGUCCAGACCGACAGCUAAGGUCCCAAAAUUCAGACUAAGUGGGGAAGGAUGUGGAGUCGCACAGACAACCAGGAUGUUGGCUUAGAAGCAGCCACCAUUUAAAGAGUGCGUAAUAGCUCACUGGUCAAGUGAUUCCGCGCCGAAGAUCCAACGGGGCUCAAGUCUGAUACCGAAGCUUCGGAUCGUCGCGUUCCUUCGGGUUCGUGGCGGUGGUAGGGGAGCGUUCCGUCAGCAGUGAAGGUCGACCGUGAGGACGGCUGGAGUGGACGGAAGUGCGAAUGCCGGCAUGAGUAGCGAAAUGCGCGUGAGAAACGUGCACGCCGUAUGUCUAAGGUUUCCUGAGGAAGGUUAAUCCGCUCAGGGUUAGUCGGGCCUAAGCCGAGGGCGAAAGCCGUAGGCGAUGGACAAUCGGUUGAUAUUCCGAUACCGCCAGAGAUCGUUUGCACCGCAAGGUGCCACGGUCGUGGACGUCGGUGCGCUGAGGCAGCUUUGCUGUCGAGGCAGCCGAUGAGAAGCGACCGCGGGAGCAAGGGCGUGACCGGGAACGGUAGGUUGAGCGCACUUUGGCUAUGUGCGUCUAAGCUGGUAGGGGGAGAGAACAGGUAAAUCCGUUCUCUCAUUUAAACUCCGAGAAGCGAAUGAAAGGCGAAAGCUGAUUCGACUGAGCCGAUCCUGCAAGAAAAGCGUCUAGCGAGAUCAAAGGCGUCCGUACCGCAAACCGACGCAGGUAGACGGGUAGAGCAUACCAAGGCGAUCGGAAGAACCCUCGUUAAGGAACUCGGCAAAUUGACCCCGUAACUUCGGGAUAAGGGGUGCCUCGCAGCGUUCACUUCGGUGAAUGACUGAUCGAGGCCGCAGUGAAACGGCCCAGGCGACUGUUUAGCAAAAACACAGGUCUCUGCUAAAGCGAAAGCUGACGUAUAGGGGCUGACGCCUGCCCAGUGCUGGAAGGUUAAGAGGAGGGGUGCAAGCUCUGAAUUGAAGCCCCAGUAAACGGCUGCCGUAACUAUAACGGUACUAAGGUAGCGAAAUUCCUUGUCGGGUAAGUUCCGACCCGCACGAAUGGCGUAACGAUCUGGGCGCUGUC
rnacentral:rRNA from 1 species